rnacentral:rRNA from 1 species
AGCAGCCGCGGUAAUUCCAGCUCCAAUAGCGUAUAUUAAAGUUGUUGCAGUUAAAAAGCUCGUAGUUGAAUUUCGGGAUCAGUUGGUCGGUCGUGCCUCGGUACGUACUGAUCAAAUUGAUUCCUACCUUCUGACGAACCACGAUGUCAUUAAUUUGGUGUCGCGGGAAAUCAGGACUGUUACUUUGAAAAAAUUAGAGUGUUUAAAGCAGGCUCGCGCUUGAAUACAUUAGCAUGGAAUAAUGAAAUAGGACGUUUGAUUCUAUUUUGUUGGUUUUUAGGAUCGACGUAAUGAUUAAUAGGGAUAGUUGGGGGCAUUAGUAUUCAAUUGUCAGAGGUGAAAUUCUUGGAUUUAUUGAAGACUAACUACUGCGAAAGCAUUUGCCAAGGAUGUUUUCAUUAAUCAAGAACGAAAGUUAGGGGAUCGAAGACGAUCAGAUACCGUCGUAGUCUUAACCAUAAACUAUGCCGACUAGGGACCGGAUGAUGUUAAUUUUUAAUGACUCAUUCGGCGCCUUACG